rfam:Gossypium raimondii Chr03_contig_418, whole genome shotgun sequence.
AUACCAUGAUAAGGGCACUUACGUAGCAUAAGUUUGAAACACUCCCACACCUCAUAGAGUGUUUCCCAUUCUAGCUGUUGAAAGUUGGUGAUGUCCAUCCUCAGCUU